UACGGGGGGAGCAAGCGUUGUUCGGAUUUACUGGGCGUAAAGGGCGCGUAGGCGGCCACCGCAAGUCGACUGUGAAAUCUCCGGGCUUAACCCGGAAAGGUCAGCCGAUACUGCAGGGCUAGAGUGCAGAAGGGGCAACUGGAAUUCUCGGUGUAGCGGUGAAAUGCGUAGAUAUCGAGGGGAACACCUGCGGCGAAGGCGGGUUGCUGGGCUGACACUGACGCUGAGGCGCGAAAGCUAGGGGAGCGAACGGG
rnacentral:rRNA from 1 species